UACGUAGGGAGCGAGCGUUGUCCGGAUUUACUGGGUGUAAAGGGUGCGUAGGCGGCAAUGCAAGCCAGAUGUGAAAACUAUGGGCUUAACUCAUAGAUUGCAUUUGAAACUGUGUUGCUUGAGUGAAGUAGAGGCAGGCGGAAUUCCCGGUGUAGCGGUGAAAUGCGUAGAGAUCGGGAGGAACACCAGUGGCGAAGGCGGCCUGCUGGGCUUUAACUGACGCUGAGGCACGAAAGCAUGGGUAGCAAACAGGAUUAGAUACCCUGGUAGUCCAUGCCGUAAACGAUGAUUACUAGGUGUGGGGGGUCUGACCCCUUCCGUGCCGGAGUUAACACAAUAAGUAAUCCACCUGGGGAGUACGACCGCAAGGUUGAA
rnacentral:rRNA from 1 species